AAGCAACACUUUAAAAGAAACAGUUUACACAAAAGGGGUAUGAUAAAGAUAAUCUAGAUUAUGAAAGCUCAAAUGUUCAAAAACUAGAACGGAAAGAGUAAAUUAAAUAUACGACUAACGAAGAGAAGACAGAUGACAAUAUUCCCCUUAUUUUUAAUUAUAAUUCCAGACAUAGAGAAUUAAGGAAAUUAAUAAAUAAGCAUUGGCAUGUUUUACAAAAAGAUUCAGGUUUAAAAGAUUUUAUAGGACCAAAACCAAAAUUUAUUUUUAGGGGGGCAAGAAAUUUUAAACAGUUUUUAACUUCAAGUUUUUUGGAUCAACCCUCAAAACCCAUCAAUAGCAGUUUUAUGAAUACAAGGGGUUUCUUUUACUGUGGAACAUGCAUGGGUUGUAAAACGAUGAAUAGGAGAACUAACAAAAUCCAAAGUUUUCAAUCUUUCCAAAAUGGUAUGUGUAUGCCUGUCUCCUGCAUGCAUAAAAAAAUGCAUUUGUCUGUGGGAUCAUCAGGUUUCUAUUUUUGCAAGUAACAAACAUGAUCAUCUGGCCACAGGUUCAUAACACACCUGACACUUAAAACCUUCACACUCAUGAUUUUCCAUCACACCAUAACACCCACACGAAUCACAAUAGGUUUUGUUUUUACAGGAUAUUUUACCAGCGUUAGCAAGCUCAUAGUGUAAAUACAUCAAUAUAUACUUUUUAAUAUGAAUAAAGAGUACAAAAUAAGUCUCAUCACAUGAGACACAAAAUGUGCGGUAUUUCUCCUGUCCUGCCCAUGUGGGUAUCAAUAUGUAGGGAGAACCACCAGACAUCUAAAGGUCAGGAUUAGAGAACAUAUAGGAAAUAUAAGACAAUUUGAGAAUCACAAUGUCUCUAAACACUUUG